rnacentral:rRNA from 1 species
UGUGUAGGCGGUUGUUUAAGUUUGGUGUGAAAUCUCCCGGCUCAACCGGGAGGGUGCGUCGAAUACUGAGCGACUUCGAGUGCGGGAGAGGAAAGUGGAAUUCCUGGUGUAGCGGUGAAAUGCGUAGAUAUCAGGAGGAACACCGGUGGUGUAGACGGCUUUCUGGACCGUAACUGACGCUGAAACACGAAAGCGUGGGUAGCAAACAGGAUUAGAUACCCUGGUAGUCCACGCCCUAAACGAUGCACAUUUGGUGUGGGUCAUUCAGUUGAUCCGUGCCGGAGCUAACGCGUUAAAUGUGCCGCCUGGGGAGUACAGUCGCAAGGCUGAA